rnacentral:misc_RNA from 1 species
GAUGAAGAACGUAGCGAAAUGCGAUAAGUGAUGUGAAUUGCAGAAUCCAGUGAAUCAUCGAAUCUUUGAACGCACAUUGCGCCCGCCAGCAUUCUGGCGGGCAUGCCUGUUCGAGCGUCAUUUCAACCCUCGACCUCCCCUUGGGGAGGUCGGCGUUGGGGACCGGCAGCACACCGCCGGCCCUGAAAUGGAGUGGCGGCCCGUCUGCGGCGACCUCUGCGUAGUAAUACAGCUCGCACCGGAACCCCGACGCGGCCACGCCGUAAAACACCCAACUUCUGAACGUUGACCUCGAAUCAGGUAGGACUACCCGCUGAACUUAAGCAUAUCAAUAAGCGGAGGA